rnacentral:rRNA from 1 species
AGGCUACUGCUAUCGGGGUCCGACUAAGCCAUGCGAGUUGAGAGGGGUAAGCCCUCGGCAUAUUGCUCAGUAACACGCGGAUAACCUGCCCUUGGGUUUGGGAUAACCCCGGGAAACUGGGACUAAUACCGGAUAGAUCAAAGAUACUGGAAUGUUCUUUGUUCGAAAGCUCCGGCGCCCAAGGAUGGGUCUGCGGCCUAUCAGGUAGUAGUGGGUGUAACGUACCUACUAGCCUACGACGGGUAAGGGUUGUGAGAGCAAGAGCCCUGAGAUGGAUUCUGAGACAUGAAUCCAGGCCCUACGGGGUGCAGCAGGCGCGAAAACUUUACACUGCGGGAAACCGCGAUAAGGGGACCCCGAGUGCCAGCACCUAGUGCUGGCUGUCCAGCUGUUCAAAAAACAGUUGUUAGCAAGGGCCGGGCAAGACCGGUGCCAGCCGCCGCGGUAACACCGGCGGCCCGAGUGGUAGCCGUUAUUAUUGGGUUUAAAGGGUCCGUAGCCGGCUUAUUAAGUCUCUUGGGAAAUCUGGCGACUCAAUCGUCAGGCGUUCAAGAGAUACUGGUAGGCUUGGGACCGGGAGAGGUGGGAGGUACUCCAGGGGUAGGGGUGAAAUCUCGUAAUCCUUGGGGGACCACCUAUGGCGAAGGCAUCCCACCAGAACGGGUCCGACGGUGAGGGACGAAAGCUGGGGGCACGAACCGGAUUAGAUACCCGGGUAGUCCCAGCUGUAAACGAUGCUCGCUAGGUGUCAGGUGCGGUGCGACCGCAUCUGGUGCCGUAGUGAAAACUUGAAGCGAGUCACCUGGGAAGUACGGUCGCAAGGCUGAAACUUAAAGGAAUUGGCGGGGGAGCACUACAACGGGUGGAGCCUGCGGUUCAA